rnacentral:rRNA from 1 species
AGUGAACGCUGGCGGCAGGCCUAACACAUGCAAGUCGAGCGGCAGCGGGCUGUAGCAAUACAGUGCCGGCGAGCGGCGGACGGGUGAGGAAUACAUCGGAAUCUACCUUGUCGUGGGGGAUAACGUAGGGAAACUUACGCUAAUACCGCAUACGAACUACGGUUGAAAGCGGAGGACCGCAAGGCUUCGCGCGAUUGGAUGAGCCGAUGUCGGAUUAGCUAGUUGGCGGGGUAAUGGCCCACCAAGGCGACGAUCCGUAGCUGGUCUGAGAGGAUGAUCAGCCACACUGGAACUGAGACACGGUCCAGACUCCUACGGGAGGCAGCAGUGGGGAAUAUUGGACAAUGGGCGCAAGCCUGAUCCAGCCAUGCCGCGUGU